rnacentral:rRNA from 1 species
AGUGAACGCUGGCGGUAGGCCUAACACAUGCAAGUCGAACGGCAGCACAGUAAGAGCUUGCUCUUACGGGUGGCGAGUGGCGGACGGGUGAGGAAUACAUCGGAAUCUACUUUUUCGUGGGGGAUAACGUAGGGAAACUUACGCUAAUACCGCAUACGACCUACGGGUGAAAGCAGGGGAUCUUCGGACCUUGCGCGAAUGAAUGAGCCGAUGUCGGAUUAGCUAGUUGGCGGGGUAAAGGCCCACCAAGGCGACGAUCCGUAGCUGGUCUGAGAGGAUGAUCAGCCAAACUGGAACUGAGACACGGUCCAGACUCCUACGGGAGGCAGCAGUGGGGAAUAUUGGACAAUGGGCGCAAGCCUGAUCCAGCCAUACCGCGUGGGUGAAGAAGGCCUUCGGGUUGUAAAGCCCUUUUGUUGGGAAAGAAAAGCAGCAGGGUAAUACCCCGCUGUUCUGACGGUACCCAAAGAAUAAGCACCGGCUAACUUCGUG